GGGGCACCACGGGCCCGGUGGUUGGGCUGUGCCGCGCGGUGCCGCUGCCUCCCACCCUGGGUACUCAGGGGAAGCCGGAAACUCGCUCGCCAUGUCGGCUGCGGAGGCGGGGGGUGUUUUCCGCAGAGCCCGGGGCAGGACCCUGGACGCGUUUCCCUCAGAAAAGGAAAGGGAAUGGAAAGGCCCAUUCUACUUCAUCCAAGGCGCAGACCCACAGUUCGGGCUCAUGAAGGCCUGGUCCACCGGGAACUGUGACAGCGGCGGUGAUGAGUGGGGGCAGGAGAUCCGUCUAACUGAGCAAGCUGUUCAGGCCGUCAACAAGUUGAAGCCCAGACCCAGAUUCUUUGUUCUCUGCGGGGACCUCAUCCACGCCAUGCCAGGGACGCCCUGGCGGAAGGAGCAGACCACGGACUUGCAGCGGGUGCUGGCCCGCGUGGACAGCGACAUCCCGCUGGUGCUCGUCAGUGGCAACCACGACUUGGGCAACGCCCCCACGCCCGAGACCGUGGCAGAGUUCCAGCAGACCUGGGGGGAUGACUACUUCAGCUUCUGGGUCGGGGGCGUCCUGUGCCUCGUGCUCAACUCCCAGUUCUGGUACGAUGCCUCCCGGUGCCCCGCCUUGAAGCAGGCGCAGGACCAGUGGCUGGACCAGCAGCUGAGCGUCGCGGGCCAGCGCGAGUGCCAGCACGCCAUCGUCUUCCAGCACAUCCCGCUCUUCCUCCAGAGCAUCGACGAGGACGACGACUACUUCAACCUCACCAAGUCUGUGCGCAGGGAGGUGGCUGACAAGCUCGUCCGAGCAGCACCUGUAGUGUUUCUGUCCUGUGAAAUGGGUCGUCCCAAGCCGAUUCCCUGCAUGACCAGUGACGGCAGGAUUCCGGUUUUGACAACUGUUGUGUCUCUUGUUUUGGUUUUAAUGCCUCCUUUCAGAUCUUUCCAGAGUGUACUUCGUCAAAUGCUUCUAAAAUUUGAAUACAUCACUUGUUUGUUAGGAGAUAGGGAGAGGGAGGUGGCGGCCUGACCCCAUAGCAAACGUUCAUUUAAAAAAACAAAAUUUCUUAUACUCUUCUUUUCAUCUUCGAGCAUUUAAAUGUGUUCGCAUUUACUUGUUAAAUGUACAAUAGGCUCUUCUGUAUUUUUGAGACAUUUUACAAAAGGCUUGCAUAAUUGGAGACAUUAUCCAACUGUUCCAUGGAGAUGAAGUUGGAAAACUUCUAUUGAGGCCUUUGAAAUUUCAUGCCAUGCUUGAGUUGGUGCAGAAAACCAUUUUGAUGACAAGGAAAUGAAGUGUCAAGAUGGCAUCAGCACCACCGUGGAGACUAUUUUGUAACAGAGAAUAAUGUCAGAGAGAACAUUUAAUGCCAGAGAAGUGAUUCCUUUCAUAUCAAAUGUUAAAUGAUGUAAAUGCCAUCCCCGUGGCCGCUCUUUGUUCCCUGUUCCUGUCAACCACGUUCUUGAGUGGCGUGUGCACGUGCGGCCCACUGGCACCCCCGAUGUUGAGACCUGUAGGCAUUUAUAAAGAGAGAGCCCACGGCUCUAACCAGGCAGCCUCCGGGGAGGCCUCCUGCCCACCCAGCAGGAGGCCCGGAAGGCGGCGGGGUACUUGGGAUGCGCCAGCCACCUCCCCCUCGGGCCUGCGGCCCCGCGAGCUCUCAGCACACCCCCAGCUGGUCCAGGUCUUGGAGGUGGGCUCCACUUGCCCCGGCUCACAGAGGUGGGGGUCUACCACCAGAAUGCCCAUCGAUUGAUGCAAAGCCCGGCUGAAACCCUCCCCUCCGCCCCAACGGCACAGUCUCUUCCCGUGGGCAGAACGACAUGGGAAGCCACGUUCCAGUCAGGAGCUCGCUUGCUAAGCGUGAGACUGAGCAGAGGAACUAGUCUUACUCCAGCCUUAAUGGCGUCAGGCUCUGGAACGCUGCCGGGUCCAUCUCCGGUAGGGCCGCCCGGCCCAGAAGACUCCGGUAUUUCCAGUGCCUUAACAUCUCUCUAGACUGUCCACCUCUUGAGGCCACCAUCUGGGCCAUAGUGGCAGCUCUCCAGCCCCCCACCCUUCUGGCCCCCCUCAGCCCCAGGGCAAAGCCAGCUCCCCACUCUUCCCCAUUGUCUCUGACUCUCCCGUUUCACUGGCCAGCUACUCCCCUUCAGCACCUUCUGCGUGAGGUGCCCCCAGCCCUGCCCUGGGUUCUUCCUCAGCUCUCCUUGAUCCCAGCAGACUCGUUUGUGUUGACUUAUCUCAGUCACCCGCUAGACUCGGCUCCUUGAGUGUGGCGGUGCUCUUGUGCUCAUCUCUGCAUUCAGGACGCCUGGCUCAGGUCAGUUCCUAGUCAGUGCCUCAUCCGUGUUUGUAGAGUGAAUGAAGGACUGACACAGCCGAUUUAUUUGCUUAGCACCCACUGUAUGCUGGCCACAGAGACCAGGGUCGUGCUGUCACGGAGCUCCUGGGCAUAGAGCUUUUCAAGGUGCAUUCCAAGGAUCGAGCAUACGUCCAAGCCUUUCGUUUCUGCGUGAUGUCCUCCCUUGAUGCUGGCUUUCCAGGUUCAUAGAGCAGCCAAUUUCUCUCUUCCCACCUGGCCCCCCACUGUUCACACCAGGUACCUUCACGUAUGAGACGGAGUCCUGUUGGCCACUGGCGUUAGGAACUUCACCUAAGCCUGCUUAACCAGGGAAAAGCAGAGACAGUUGUCCUUCCUGCUGUCACCUGUCAGUUUUAGUGGCUUACCAAGCCUGGCCCUUUCCUUUAUGGCCUUCCACACACACAGCAAACCAAGGGCAAUGUCAAGAAGAGAUCCAUGCCGGAUGUGGACCCAGCUCGGUGGCAGGCUGAGUGAUCUGCUUAGGGUGAAAGCAUGAAUAGGUUGUCUCUCCUAGGGAAUGUGUGCACCCAUGACUCACGAUCCCAGAGAUCGCUCAGCUCACAGCAUUGUAAUUCUUGGACUCCUUUGGGAAAGCCAGAGUUCAAGUGACAUUUCAUAAGAUUCAUUAACUUCAAGACCGUGAUCAAAUUGGGGGUGAUGCUGCUGUUUAAUGCUGCCUCCAGCUUUUCCCCCACAGCAAUAUUAUUCCCUCGUGCUAUUCCAGUCUCCUUUAUCUCCCUGAGUUAAAAUGCCGGUACUCAAAAAUAUGUCAAAGGCUCAUCAGAAUAUCAGGGUAGCUUUUAAUUAUGAUAAUUGUGUUGUUAUAAAAUAUCCUUUUAAAGAGCACAUCCCUCCUCAAACCACCAUGGAGGUAAAACCCAGCUUCCUUCCAGCAAGCUUAAUGAAUAAUUCUGAAUCAUUGUGUGGGAUGAAUAAAUGAUUUAAUAACGAACAUCAACAAUCAUCUCUCAUUGUUGCAUUAAUUUUUCAAACGGGAUGAGGUAAAUGAGGAGGAGGGGUGUUACUAUACAAUGGGCCACCGUGUGUGUUGGGAUGCGUUCUAUGAAUCCAAGCCUGCGAGCCUCCCCGCUCAGGUUUCCCUAGAAACGGAUGCAUUCUGUUUCUCCUUUUGAAGCUCAGUGAAAAACCUUCUUUGUGUGGUACAAAAGCGUCUUCAACAGCCAGCGCAAAUAAACAGUUAUCAGGGCAGGACAGACGCACAGAUGGGGAGCUGCACCCGUUAUUUUCGGUCUUCCUUUGUACUGCCUGAGGAUAAUCAAUUUCAUCACAUCCACGGGAUGUAGAAAUUGGUUUUCCCCUUAAUUCACCUGAUACCUAGUUGAGUUGCAAAGACAGUUAGUAGAUAAUGAAAUCGUGGUUGAACGCAACCACUGUCUCUGUCCCUCAUGCCUUUUUCAGCAAAAGGUUAAUUUGUGACCUAGUUAAUACGGAUUCCAAUUUAAGAACUCAAUCUUAAAAAACAAAAGUCUGGCUCUUUUAACUGACCUCGUCUCCCUUGAUGUCUCGAUACCUUUUUUUUUUUUUUUUCCAUUCUCAACAUAGAGAUGAGAACUGUGUAGUAGGGAGCCCAGAGCGAAUUUGGCAAUUACGAAACAUUCCAAUAAGUUGAUCUUUCCUGCAAAAGUUAAUGAGUAAUUUCACAGAAAUAGUUUCAUCUCCAGUAUUUAUUCCUUUAAAAAAAAAAAAAACUGGAGAGAGAAAGAGAUCUUAGCCCAUAAUUAUCAUUUGAAAAUUUCAAAGUUUGAAAGAACAAAAUGGUCGGGUUUCCAGGGUCCACUUUGUAGGAAAAAUAAAACGUCUGAUUCUACUCUGAUGUCCUUCUGAGUUGUAUUGAGAUUAUUUGUUUAUGUCCUGAUUCCUCCAAAAAUGGAAUCCCAGCUGUAUUCACCUCUGUAAGCCCAGCCUCUGGCCAAAACUGUCAUGUGGUUGCCCUGUCAAUAAACAAAUAUUGGCUAAGUGGAAUGGAAUUAGAUUUGAUUCACAUACUUAUCAGCAGAAUCAUAGAUAAUGUCGAUACUACCUGUGGAUCAGUGUUGGCGAACUGAGCUUUGGAUGGGAAAUGUAUCACGUAAAGCGGGGUCUUGGUGAACUUUUUCUGCCAAGGGGCACACAGUAAACACUUUGGGCUGUGGUCUCCGUGGCAACCGCAGAGCUCUGCCUUUGUAGCAGUAACAGACAUACAUAAGCAAAUGAGCGUGGCCCUGUUCCAGCACAACUCUACUUACAAAAGCCAGGUGUGAGCUGGCGGGUCGUACUUUUCCCCGCCUUUGGCUCAGAGAAAUCUUCCUGCCCUGCCCUCAGACCGUGUCCACACCGUGUGUGCGUCUAACUCCAGCAUGCUUCUGGUGACCCCACCGCGGCAGCUGCCUGACCCGCUGAAGGGUCCGCCCAGAGCGAGCCUCAGGUUCCUCCAUGGAGGACACACCCGGGGACCUUGGAAAGAGGGAUCCUCGACUCGGUCCAACAACUGUCUGGGCUGGGAAAUGGCUUGGAGUCGUCAGCAGCGGGGUCGGGUG